ensembl:ribozyme RNaseP_nuc Nuclear RNase P
UCCGGGGGAAGCUCACCGCCGAGGCCACGCACCGGGUGCGCGUCACUCCGCCGCGCCUCGGGGAAGGUCUGAGGGAGGGGCCGUGGCGGCCCUAGCAGGGCCCCGCCCGCGCGGGCGGGUGAGCCACCAGAGAGGGGGGGCACCGCGGCGGCCGGCCCGGGCAGGAGAAGCCGCGGGCGGCGGCGCGGCCCGCCCGCCCCGGCGGAUGCUCAUGGCUCCGCGGCGUCUUGAGACAGACUCACGGCCGGCACUGCUGAGUCCAAUGGGUGAGGUGGGGCACCGCCCCACAACCCAAUUCAGACUACUCUCCCCCGGA